GCGGGCGUGGGCGGCGAACGGCCGGGACGCGUCGCUACCCUAAUUAGACGAGGAGCGUCUGGUCCCAGAGGCCGGCGUCGGGGCCGCGGAGACGCACCCCGGCCGGAAACCCCGGGCGGGUCCGGGUCUACACCACCGUCCCCGACUCGGAGAAGUGGGACUGCCAAGCCGCAAAGCCCAUCAGCGCCAGGACGGCAGACAGGACCACAGGAGGUGACAGUUCAGCUCCUCAGGGAGCACGUCCCCCACGCCUGGACGAGGGGCGCUGGGGUGAGCCGUGGGAUGCCAGGCCCAGCAGCCCACUCCGUCUGCGAGGGGCUUCCUAAGAGCAGGCCUGGCCGUGGCCACACGCCGUAAGGACAACUGCCUUGUCACCCGGAGGUUGCAACCUGUCACUGCAGCUCAGAUGCAUUCUGCAGGCUUGGGAAGAGUGAGAGCACCCAGGUGGUGGGCCUGCGCGAUGUCCUGGGGACGCGGAAGUGACCACGGUCCCCUGCAGGUGGGAUCGAGAGAGAAGAUGGGGCCUGGCACAGAG